GGAGGGUAUAGCUCAAUUGGUAGAGUGCUUGCUUAGCAUGCAUGAGGUCCUGGGUUCAAUCCCCAGUACCUCCA
rnacentral:tRNA from 1 species